GUCCUACGGGGGGCAGCAGUGAGGAAUAUUGGUCAAUGGGCGCAGGCCUGAACCAGCCAAGCAGCGUGAAGGAUGACUGCCCUAUGGGUUGUAAACUUCUUUUAUAUGGGAAUGAAGUUUUCCACGUGUGGAAUUUUGUAUGUACCAUAUGAAUAAGGAUCGGCUAACUCCGUGCCAGCAGCCGCGGUAAUACGGAGGAUCCGAGCGUUAUCCGGAUUUAUUGGGUUUAAAGGGAGCGUAGGUGGACAGUUAAGUCAGUUGUGAAAGUUUGCGGCUCAACCGUAAAAUUGCAGUUGAUACUGGCU
rnacentral:rRNA from 1 species